rnacentral:rRNA from 1 species
UACGGAGGAUCCAAGCGUUAUCCGGAAUUACUGGGCGUAAAGAGUUGCGUAGGUGGCAGAGUGUGUCUGUAGUGAAAGCGUUCGGCUCAACCGAAUACACAUUAUAGAAACUGCUCAGCUAGAGGAUGAGAGAGGUUAUUGGAAUUCCCAGUGUAGGAGUGAAAUCCGUAGAUAUUGGGAGGAACACCGAUGGCGUAGGCAGAUAACUGGCUCAUACCUGACACUAAGGCACGAAAGCGUGGGGAGCAAACGGG